GUUGGUGUGGCAGAGCCCGGCUAUGCAAAGGCCCUAAAAACCUUGUACGGAAGUUCAAACCCUCCCCCCAACU
rnacentral:tRNA from 1 species